rnacentral:rRNA from 1 species
CUAUGGCUAAUACAUGCAUAAAGACCUCCGGGUUGUAUUUAUUAGUUUUGACCAAUUUCAAUUGUGAUGAAUCAUAAUAACUGAUCGAAGCGCACUUAUGUGCGCUAAAUCUUUCAAGUAUCUGCCCUAUCAGAUUGUUGGUAGUGUAUUGGACUACCAUGUCGAUCACGGGUAACGGAGAAUUAGGGUUCGAUUCCGGAGAGGGAGCCUGAGAAAUGGCUACCACAGCUACGGUAGGCAGCAGGUGCGUAAAUUACCCAAUCCAAAUUCUGGAAGGUAGUUACAGGAAAUUUGUUGCAUGAGGUUUACCUCAGACACAAACGAACACAUGUAAGUAUUGUGUGUUUAAUUGGAGGGCAAGUUUUGGUGCCAGCAGCCGCGGUAAUUCCAACUCCAAGAGUGUAUCUUAAUGUUGCUGCAGUUAAAAAGCUCGUAGUUGAACCUCUGGCUAUUGAAGUUUUCAAUCGAGAACUUCGAUAGCCAUCCGCUAGGAGAAACAGUAUUUCCGUCAAAAGUUUUACUGUAGAACCAGCAUUUUACUUUGAAGAAAUUAGAGUGUUCCUAGCAGGCUACGCUUGCAUAAAUUAGCAUGGAAUAAUGGAAAAGGACUUUGUCUGUUUUUUUGGUUGACAGAUGAGUAAUGAUUAACAGGGACAGUCGGGGGCAUUCGUACUGAGUGGCUAGAGGUGAGAUUCUUAGAUUCGCUCAAGACGAACUAAUGCGAAAGCAUUUGCCAAGGAUGUUUUCAUUAAUCAAGAACGAAAGUUAGGGGAUCAAAGACGAU